rnacentral:lncRNA from 1 species
UGUAUAUCAAAGUAUUUUUUUCAUUCAAAAAUAGUAACAAUGGGAAGACAACAGAGAGAGGGAAAGAGAUUCGAGUCCUUGGACUGAGAUGGGGUGAAUUACAAAGCAUAUAAAGCAAAACAAAACAAAAGGAUUAAUUAUAACAAUAAUUAUUAUAAUAUGAGUGUCAAUAGUGGUUGACGAAGACGUCGUAUUCGACGAUGGCAUCGCCUUUGGAGAAAUCGACGGAGUGGAACCUGGCCUGAGCAUAGCCACGAGCGAAGCGAAAAGCGCCAGUGCCGCCAACGAUGGCCAUUUCCCUAACAGGUUCGCUCAUGAUCAUGUUUCUGGCCAACACGCUUAUGCUGCUGCCGUUGAAGUCUCCGUCGGUGAAGGCCAUGGUCAUAACCAUCAUAAGCCCCAUCUCCGCCUGAGAAAUGGAAGUGUAAAUCCCCUGGGCCUUCCCCACGAGUUUGGAGUUGGGUUCGGGUCCGGCAGUCAAGGGGUCGUCCAUGGCGACGACGGUGCCGAAGGGAAGGGCGUCCUUGGCUUUUCCGUUGGGCUCGGCGACAAUGACCAUGCUGGGGUUGGGCCCGGUGACUACGUCGUGGAAGAAGAAGUGAAGAUGAGUGAACUUGUCUUCACGGAAACCCAUUAGCGUUGGGGCUAAGCUUUGAUAGUAAGUGGCGGUGACGAGAGAUAUUAGUAAAGAGAGGUUAAGGCAAAGGAAAAUGGUAGAGUUGGCCAUUGUUCUGAAACUCAAAUCAAUUUCUCUCACUUCUGUUUCUCUUUGAUUCCUCUCUAUCGAUGUGAGCACUCAACUUUCUCCCCACUAACUAUUUAUAACGCUCAAACAGCCCUACAAAAUCCCUUUUCUAAUCUCACCAAUUCAAACUAAACACCAUUUUCACUUCUCUCUUUCUUUUUAUCCCAAGCCUUCUACCGUUGACGGACCAAAACCUCACAUCAAAUAAGACUGACAGAUAUGCACGUAGCACCUCACCUCAGCUUGGAAACCAAGAAAAUCAUAGGGGAAACGACUUAACUAUAAUAUUUCAUUUAUUUUGCACAGGGGAACGUUCGUUUCUGCUCUUCCUUUGACUGAUAUCACCUUUAAUUUUUAUAUUGGCUGCUGAUUCCUUCAGACUUUUUUUUUUCUAUAUAUUCAUCUUCUAACCGUUUAAAUUAGAAUUUUAUUGUGAUACAUCUUUAUCUAGAAAAGUGGCUUUAAAAUAUUAUUAAUGAACUGUUCUGUUAGAUUAUAUCUUUUCUUUUGUAUACAAAACUAAAUUUUAAACUGCGUGAAUUUUAAUUCUAAUUAUAUGUAUUGUAUGUCAAAUUUUAUAUGAUUAAAAACAAUAAAUGUAUGUUAGGAUUUUGAUAAGUUUUUUUUUCUAUUUUUAAACUUUUCUAUCAUCUAAUAUUCUUUUAACAUUUGAAGAAAUUAUGAAGUUGAUAGGAUGAUUUGAAGGAAAGAGGGGUUUUAUCCUAUCAGAUACACAUAAUUUAAGGAAAAAUUGAUGGUUUAGGAAGUGAUUUUGCACAGUCACAUUUGGACACAUAAUUUGAUAUUUUAAUCAACUUUGUAUCAUCAAUUUGAAGGUGUUUAAACACUGAGACAACAAAUGACUGUUUCAACAGUGCACACAAGCUUAAAAUGGUAAAAACUUGUUCAAACGUUCACAAUACACAGAAACAGUUGGUAGCAACAAAUGACAGUAGCAGUUGCUAAUUAUGCAAAAAAAAUGCAAUAAAAACUGCACCAUAAUGAACAGUGGUCACCCAGGUUAUCACAGGUGGCUCCUAUUGACCAAUUACUUGUCCAAAACUCAAAAUACACUCGCGUAAUCGUUUACCAGGCUCUGGUAAACGAUUACAAGGUUGUUUUUGGGUGCAUUAGUCUAAGAAUUUCUCCUAAGUGGCUAAUCUCAUAAAAAGUGAUCCCCUACACCAUGAUGGGAUCCCCCAAACCUGACCUCCAAGUACAAAAGCACACUUAAACAACAAAUUCAACUUAAAAUCACUGGACUUGUGUAAAAAAAUACUGGAAUUGAAUUGUAGUCACCCAAGUUAUCACAGGUGGCUCCUGUUGACCAAUUACUUGUCCAAAACUCAAAAUACACUUGUGUAAUCAUUUAUCAAGCUCUGGCAAACGAUUAAGAGGUUGCUUUUGGGUGCACUGCUCUAAGAACUUCACCUAAGUAGAUGAUCUCAUCCAAAGUGGUCCCUUAUACCAUGAUGGGUGAUAAUGGUUUAUUUAACGUGUUUGUGUGUGUAUAUUUUGUGAACAAAUCAAAUCCUUCAUAACUUUUACCUUGUUUUAUCCUCAAGUUUAGUGUGUUUUCUAGUUUUUUUGUGUUUUAUCUAGUAUAUGUUUGUUUUUACCUCUAAUAUCUUUGUUUGAGUUGUGAAAUAAAUGAAAAGGAAGCACUUCUAGUAGAAGAAAACAAGCAAGAAUUCAUGGGAACAUGUUUUGGGACAAUAAAAGAGCAAUUUGAAGCAAAUACCCAUGUUGGAUGCAUUUGGAAUCGCACAAGAGCUUGAAUUGUAGAAUGUUGUCAAAAUUGAUGUCGUUGGGCUACCGCUGGGCUACGGCUUGAGCACUCUACUCGCUGGAAUGCUGUCGCUGAGCUACCGCUUGAACGAUUGCUCUCUAGAAUGCUACCGCUAGGCUGCCGCUGGGCUAUCGCUUGAGCGGUGACGACGCUGAUUUGGCAAAAUAAGUUAUUUAAACAUGGGUCUCGCGACUUUUUGGGCAUUUUUCUCCUCUUACACUUCAUUCUUCACCUAAAGAGAUUGGGAGAGGCCCUUGGAGGCUGUUUGGGGUGUUGGGAACCUCUUUCACUCCUCCUUGGGUCUUCAAGCUUCAUCAGUGGUGAUUUUGCCCCUUUUGGGUUGAGGAAGAAGAUGGGUCAUAAAUUGGAGAUGGAGAUGUGAAGGGGAGGCACAAAUGGAGCAUGGAGAAGCUGCCAAGAACCUUGGGAAAGGUUGUGCAUCUUCUCUUUGGUUCCAAUUUCUUCCCUAUCUCUUCAAUUUUGUAGAACCCUAAGUUCUCCACCAUGGAGGGUUUUUCCUACUUGUUGAGAUUAGUUGUAAAACAUGGAAUUCUUAUGUAUUUUGUGAUGUUAAUGAUAUAUGCUUUUCCAAUUCAUGUUAGUAUUCAAUUUUUAUGCUUAAUGAUUGCUUUGGAUUGAUCACCCAUGCAUGAAUUUUGGUUCUUGAUAUAUUGAGAAAUAUGAUUGAACCUAGAAUUGAAAUUGAAUACUUAUUGGAUGGAAUUGAGAUGUUUGUGAAUGCAUGAGAAUGAAAUGGAUGAAUUCUAGUCUUGACAAAUUGUAAAUACACUAUAUAUGUUAAAUUUCUUGCACACCAACUGUUUGAUAAAAUACCAAAAAUAGUUUCUUGUGUUGUUUUUGUGCACUUUGAUGUUUAAUUGAGUUAUAAAAGGAAGAAUUGUUAUGUGUUGCACAAGUCCCUUGGGAGCAAACGAUAUUUAUCACUUGCUACACUGCGACCGGUGCACUUGUUGUUGGUGUUGCAGUCAAUAAUAUAUGGGAUCCCCUAAACCUGACCUUCAAGCAUAAAAGCACACUUAAACAACAAAUUCAACUUAAAAUCACUAGACUUGUGUAAAAAAACAUUGGAAUUGAACUGUGUUAACUUGGGUGACCACAUCUCAAUUCCAGUGUUUUUUCACACAAGUUUAGUACUUUGAAGUUGAAAUUGUUGUUAAAGUGUGCUUAUAUGCUUGGAGGUCAUGUUUGGGGGAGCCCAUCAUGCAGUAGGGGUCCCUUUUGAUGAGAUCAGCCACUUAGGUGAAGUCCUGUGAGCUGUGCACCAAAAAUCACCCUUGUAAUCGAUUACCAGAGCCUGGUAAACAAUUACUCGAAUGAAUUUUGGGUUUUGGACAAGUAGUUGAACUCUAGGAGCCACCUGUGCUAACCUGGGUGACCACAUCUCAAUUCAAGUGUUUUUUCACACAAGUUUAGUGCUUUGAAGUUGAAAUUGUUGUUAAAGUGUGCUUAUAUGCUUGGAGGUCAUGUUUGGGGGAGCCCAUCAUGCACUAGGGGACCCCUUUUGAUGAGAUCAGCCACUUAGGUGAAAUCCUGUAAGCUGUGCACCAAAAAUCACCCUUGUAAUCGAUUACCAGAGCCUGGUAAACGAUUACACGAAUGAAGUUGGAUUUUGGACAAGUAGUUGAACUGUAGGAGCCACCUGUGCUAACCUGGGACCACAUCUCAAUUCCAAUGUUUUUUCACACAAGUUUACUGCUUUGAAGUUGAAAUUGUUGUUAAAGUAUGCUUAUAUGCUUGGAGAUCAUGUUUGGAGGAGCCCAUUAAGCAGUAGGGGACCCCUUUUGAUGAGAUCAACCACUUAGGUGAAAUCCUAUAAGCUGUGUAUAAAAAAUCACCCAUGUAAUCGAUUACCAAAGCCUGGUAAACGAUUACAUGAAUGAAUUUUGAGUUUUGGACAAGUAGUUGAACUGUAGGAGUCACCUGUGCUAACCUGGGUGACCACAUUUCAAUUACAGUGUUUUUUCACACAAGUUUAGUACUUUUAAGUUGAAAUUGUUGUUAAAGUGUGCUUAUAUGCUUGUUAAAGUGUGACAACCUUAAAGUGUGUUUUCGUCCAACACUAUUAAAUAAAAUCAAAACGGCAUUUUACUUUUGGGUUGUCAUUGAACCUGCACUUAUAUGAUAAGCGAAAGACAAUGGUGGAGAAUAUUGUUAGGGUUAGCGCAACACGAUAAAAACAAUGCUCCAAAACAUGGCUAGGGUUCGCCAACUUCUACUUACCAAAACAAGCGACACGGACGUCAAACAAGGGACAGGACACAAUGACUACGGUUUUAAAUAUGAGUGAGCAAGCGAGUGAUGAGAGCAACCAAAAGAUGAAAGCAACAGAGAGAUGAGAGCAAGUGAGAGAGAUGAGAGCAAACGAGAGAGGAGAGAGCAAGCGAGGGAGAUGACAAAAAUCCAGAUACGAGAGGAAGCGAGAGAAAUGAGAGGAAACGAGAGAUGAAUAGUAAAAGCGCGAAACCAAUUUUCAUAAUUUCUGAAUUCCAAAUACACCCUCGCCUAACCAUUUGGGUAUUGUUUUUUUCUUUUUAAAAACUAGCUAACGGAAAACAGCCACAUAGUGUUUUCAAAUAAUUGGCAAACAAAACGUUGUUAAACAAACAUUUUGCUUAAGAAAUAGUAACAAUGAUAAGACAAUGACCUCAAGAGAAGGAAAUAGAUUCGAGUCCUUGGACUGGGGUGGGUGAAUUACAAAGCAUAAAACAAAACAAAAGGAUGAAUGAUAAUAAUUAUUAUUAUAAUAUAAGUGUCAAUAGUGGUUGACGAAGACGUCGUAUUCGACGAUGGCAUCGCCUUUGGAGAAAUCGACGGAGUGGAACCUGGCCUGAGCAUAGCCACGAGCGAAGCGAAAAGCGCCAGUGCCGCCAACGAUGGCCAUUUCCCUAACAGGUUCGCUCAUGAUCAUGUUUCUGGCCAACACGCUUAUGCUGCUGCCGUUGAAGUCUCCGUCGGUGAAGGCCAUGGUCAUAACCAUCAUAAGCCCCAUCUCAGCCUGAGAAAUGGAAGUGUAAAUCCCCUGGGCCUUCCCCACGAGUUUGGAGUCGGGUUCGGGUCCGGCAGUCAAGGGGUCGUCCAUGGCGACGACGGUGCCGAAGGGAAGGGCGUCCUUGGCUUUUCCGUUGGGCUCGGCGACAAUGACCAUGCUGGGGUUGGGCCCGGUGACUACGUCGUGGAAGAAGAAGUGAAGAUGAGUGAACUUGUCUUCACGGAAACCCAUUAGCGUUGGGGCUAAGCUUUGAUAGUAAGUGGCGGUGACGAGAGAUAUUAGUAAAGAGAGGUUAAGGCAAAGGAAAAUGGUAGAGUUGGCCAUUGUUCUGAAACUCAAAUCAAUUUCUCUCACUUCUGUUUCUCUUUGAUUCCUCUCUAUCGAUGUGAGCACUCAACUUUCUCCCCACUAACUAUUUAUAACGCUCAAACAGCCCUACAAAAUCCCUUUUCUAAUCUCACCAAUUCAAACUAAACACCAUUUUCACUUCUCUCUUUCUUUUUAUCCCAUGGCUUCUAUCGUUGACGGACCAAAACCUCACAUCAAAUAAGACUGACAGAUAUGCACGUAUCACCUCACCUCAGCUUGAAAAAGACAAAUAAACAUACGAAUCACCUUAUAGAAACCAAUCAAAUAUAUUUUUCAAUUUUAUUUGCACGAAUCACCUCAUAAACUGUCUGGUGGAAGU